rnacentral:rRNA from 1 species
AUUGAACGCUGGCGGCAGGCCUAACACAUGCAAGUCGAACGGUAACAGGGAUCAGCUUGCUGAUUCGCUGACGAGUGGCGGACGGGUGAGUAAUGUCUGGGAAACUGCCUGAUGGAGGGGGAUAACUACUGGAAACGGUAGCUAAUACCGCAUAACGUCGCAAGACCAAAGAGGGGGACCUUCGGGCCUCUUGCCAUCGGAUGUGCCCAGAUGGGAUUAGCUAGUAGGUGGGGUAACGGCUCACCUAGGCGACGAUCCCUAGCUGGUCUGAGAGGAUGACCAGCCACACUGGAACUGAGACACGGUCCAGACUCCUACGGGAGGCAGCAGUGGGGAAUAUUGCACAAUGGGCGCAAGCCUGAUGCAGCCAUGCCGCGUGUAUGAAGAAGGCCUUCGGGUUGUAAGUACUUUCAGCGGGGAGGAAGGGAGUAAAGUUAAUACCUUUGCUCAUUGACGUUACCCGCAGAAGAAGCACCGGCUAACUCCGUG